UGUUAAACGUUGAUGAGGAGUACUAAUUUCGAAAUAUCAUCCAGAGAGCCGGUGGUUGCUGCAAGCCGGUUGAUAGAUUGAAACGAACUUGCCUCGGAGUCAUGAUAUGAAUAUAAAAUAUCAUCGUCUUACCCGCGUUAAGGGUUCAAAGUGAGUGGAAGACAAAGAAUGUAUUCCGCUAACUAGGGUGGUACCACGGGAAUCUAACCUCUCGUCCCUAGC
rnacentral:ncRNA from 1 species